rnacentral:snoRNA from 1 species
AUCAUCAGUAGUGGUUAGUACUAUCUCAAGAUAAUAUUAAUACACAUAUACACCAUAGAAACCUACGGUUUCGGUUAUCUCUUUUCUCAAGAAGUUUUUCCUAGGUUUCUUCGGAGAUCUAGGAACGGCUUUAGUUAAUACUGGAGAAGAGUGACUGUUACCAUUUUUUAACCCAUAGCUGAAUGGAUCCUGACUAGCCCCAAACAAGCUGGCCACAGUUUCCAUUUCGUUUCCGGUUUCUUAGAUCAAUAAAGUUGGAAGCGCAUUGAGUUGGGAGGGGAAGUCUCUUCCUUUUCCCGGUUUUUUGCAUCACUUCUUUCUUUUAACCAUUAUGAAGAGGUCUGGAAAGUGAUGAUUAGAAGCGGUUUAACAGCUCGCUCUAGUUGUUCUUCCAGGUGUUGCAUGUGAUCCAGAGGGCUUUGCGUAAUGGCUGCCUGAGAGUUUGGAUUUUCACUCUCCGUUGUGCCCUUCUUCAUGAUGGAACAGUU